GCAAGAACACGUCUCCAUGGACCAGACUGCCUCAGCAAAACAGGUAUACACUCUGAUGCCUGCUGACGGCUUCUUGGAUGAAUGGGACCUCGAUACUAAGGAUUUGUGGAAUCUCGAGGAGCCGACCCUGGGACCCUUCAUCAAGCCACAGCUUCCCUCAAAGGGAGAGGAGCUCCCGG